CAGCUAGUUGGCGGGGUAACAGCCCACCAAGCCUGCGAUCAGUAGCUGAUGUGAGAGCAUGAUCAGCCACACGGGCACUGAGACACGGGCCCGACUCCUACGGGAGGCAGCAGUAGGGAAUAUUGGGCAAUGGAGGAAACUCUGACCCAGCCAUGCCGCGUGAAGGAUGAAGGUCCUCUGGAUUGUAAACUUCUUUUAUAAGGGAAGAAACCCUUGAAUUCAUUCAAGGCUGACGGUACCUUAAGAAUAAGCACCGGCUAACUCCGUGCCAGCAGCCGCGGUAAUACGGAGGGUGCAAGCGUUAUCCGGAUUCACUGGGUUUAAAGGGAGCGUAGGCGGAUUGAUAAGUCAGUGGUGAAAGCCCCAGGCUCAACCUGGGAAUUGCCAUUGAUACUGUUAAUCUUGAGUGCGGUUGAAGUGGGCGGAAUAUGACAUGUAGCGGUGAAAUGCUUAGAUAUGUCAUAGAACACCGAUUGCGAAGGCAGCUCACUGAGCCGCAACUGACGCU
rnacentral:rRNA from 1 species